GAGAUCACAUCUCCCAAAUGAGAAGGAACAGUUCACUUCCUUGGAUCUGUGGUUCCACGUGUGCCCUUCAGGGGGCGACGUUGCACUAAGGAGGCAUCUGUGUUCGUUGCAGACCAUCCUCAUCUACUGAGUCUCCUCCCUGCAGCUGGCUGAUGUAGCUCACUGAUGUGUGUGUAGACAGGGAGCUGUGACGAGAACAAGAGGUCAGAACACAUCCAGACUCCUUAAGGGAAGACCUCUUUCUGUCUUGGAAACUUUUCAAAGCCAGGGACUUGUCCAGCCCAACCUUCCGACUGCUCCUAGCUCCUGAGGCUCAGGGCCCUUGGCUUCUGUCCGCCCUGCUCAGGGCCCGCCAGCGUCGCCACUCCUCAGCCAUGCUCCUGCUGCUCGUCCCAGUGCUCGAGGUGAUUUUUACCCUGGGAGGAACCAGAGCCCAGUCUGUGACCCAGCUUGACAGCCAGGUCUCUGUCUCUGAAGGAGUCCCUGUGCUGCUGAGGUGCAACUACUCAUCGUCUUUUCCACCAAAUCUCUUCUGGUACGUGCAAUACCCCAACCAAGGUCUCCAGCUUCUCCUGAAGUACAUAUCAGGGACCGCGCUGGUUAAAGGCAUCAACGGUUUUAAGGCUGAAUUUAAGAAGAGUGAAACCUCCUUCCACUUGACGAAAGCCUCAGCCCAUGUGAGCGAUGCGGCUGAGUACUUCUGUGCUGUGAGUGACACAGUGCCUGAGACUGCAGGGCAGCUGAACACAAACCUCCUGAGAUACUGAGACUUUCUGUGACUCGAGAACUCAAACUUGAAGUCUGUUUUAUGAUAUUAAAUAGCAAUUCCAAGUUUCUGAUGCUUAUUGAUGUAUGCUGUAUCUUUUUCGUCUGUUUAUUUUUAAACUAUCUAUGACUUUAAAAUCUAUUUCCUGUAGGUAGCAUAAAAGAGCAUCUUUUAUUUUUAUCUACUUUAUUAAUCUCUGUUUUUGCAUUGUGAAGUUUAGAUAAUUAAAAUUGAAUAUAAAUAUCAAUCAGGUUGGAUUUAAGUAUAUUUCAUUAUUGUGUUUCACCCAUGUUCCUUUUUUUGUUCUUUUUUUCUGACUCUUUUGGAUUAUUUAAAUACUUUUUCAAUUUACAUUUUAAUUUAUCUAUGAACUUUUUGGCUAUAACUCUGUACUUUUUGAGUAGUUGCUCUGGA